CCUACGGGGAGCAGCAGUGGGGGAUAUUGCACAAUGGGGGCAACCCUGAUGCAGCGACGCCGCGUGAGCGAUGGAGUACUUCGGUAUGUAAAGCUCUGUCAGCAGGGAAGAGAAUGACGGUACCUGACCAAGAAGCCCCGGCUAAAUACGUGCCAGCAGCCGCGGUAAUACGUAUGGGGCAAGCGUUAUCCGGAUUUACUGGGUGGAAAGGGAGCGUAGGCGGCAGGGCAAGCCUGAUGUGAAAGCCCGGGGCUCAACCCCGGGACUGCAUUGGGAACUGCCCCGCGCGAGUGCCGGAGGGGCAGGCGGAAGUCCUAGUGUAGCGGUGAAAUGCGUAGAUAUUAGGAGGAACACCAGUGGCGAAGGCGGCCUGCUGGACGGUGUACUGACGCUGAGGCUCGAAAGCGUGGGGAGCAAACAGGAUUAGAUACCCGUGUAGUC
rnacentral:rRNA from 1 species